rnacentral:rRNA from 1 species
UACGUAGGGGGCGAGCGUGGUCCGGAGUUACUGGGCGUAAAGGGCGCGCAGGCGGUCUGGUAAGUUUGGAGUGACAGUGCUCGGCUUAACUGAGCAAGGCCUUCGAAAACUGCUAGACUUGAGCACUCAAGAGGGACAUAGAAUUCCGGGUGGAGUGGUGAAAUGCGUAGAUAUCCGGAGGAAUACCAAAGGCGAAGGCAGUGUCCUGGGGAGUGUCUGACGCUCAGGCGCGAAAGCUAGGGGAGCGAACAGG